GGGGCUAUAGCUCAGCUGGGAGAGCGCCUGCCUUGCACGCAGGAGGUCAGCGGUUCGAUCCAGCUUAGCUCCA
rnacentral:tRNA from 1 species